CCCUUAGAUGUUCUGGGCCGCACGCGCGCUACACUGAUGCAUUCAACAAGUUUUACCUUGGCCGAGAGGCCUGGGAAAUCUUUCAAAUAUGUAUCGUGAUAGGGAUAGAUUAUUGCAAUUAUUAAUCUUGAACGAGGAAUUCCUAGUAAAUGCAGAUCAUCAUUCCGCGUUGAUUACGUCCCUGCCCUUUGUACACACCGCCCGUCGCACCUACCGAUUGAAUGAUCCGGUGAAGCCUCGGGAUUGUGCCCAGAGAACUUUAUUGUGAUUUGGGUGUGAGAACUUGUCUAAACCUUAUCAUUUAGAGGAAGGUGAAGUCGUAACA
rnacentral:rRNA from 1 species